UGUCUGAAACGUUCUGCUGACACCUUCUGGUAAGAUCUAACCUUGCAGAAUGGGCACAGAAAAGGAUCCGGAGAAAGACAGCAGGUGUCCUGCUCAGAAAUGCCAUGUUGGCCACGUCCCUGCAGGCAAAAACUGGACAUUGAUGUCUCAGAGUCAGAAACUGAACGCUAACACCUCUCCCCCCACCACACCUUCCAGUGACAUUAUAAGGAAGAGAAACAUACCGUCACAGAAAGGAAAGGCAGCAAGGGGCAAGGACCAGCAGAACACUGGCGUUCUCACCUCUCCUUUGUGCAUCGGGGGUUUCUUGACCUGGGAAGACAGCUGAGAAUCCAUGAGAAGCGUCACCAAGACUCAGCUGGUGCUUUCAAAUGAAGGAAUCUAUCCUCCACAUGGCCGCCUGCUCCCGGCCACAUAACCCAAGGCCUUCUCGGAAGAUGACACGGGUCCCUGCAGAUGCAAAUGGUUAACAUAGGAUGAGGUCAUACUGGAGCAGAGUGGGCCCUGAUCCAGUAAGACUCGUGUCCUUAAAAAAACGGGAAAUUUGGACCAGACACAGGCACAAAGGGAGAACACCAUAACACCAUGUGAAGAUUGGAGUUUUACUGCCACAAGCAAAGGAACUUCCAGAUGUGGGGAGAAAGGUGUGGAAGAGACCCUUUCUUCAUAGCCCUCUGUGAGGAAACCAACCCUGCUAACACCUCCAUUUGGGACUUCUAGUCUCCAGAACUAUGAGAUAAUAAA